GGGCACAUGUAGGUAGAAGACUACAAAAUUUCUUUGCUUAUGUUUUCUCAGCAAAGUCAUUGGCUGAGCUUGAGGAUGGGGGAGGGUUGUUGGAACAUUGAGGAGAAAGAAGAUAAGAAAUCCUCGUCUAGAAAUGAACGAAUUGUGAUGCACAGAUCACCAGCAAAAUAGAAGCAGAAUUCAUCUUGGGACCAUUGAGAACACAAAUUCAAUCCAGUGCCGUAUAGAUACGAUGAGAGCAACGUACCAGGCACAGCAUUAGACACGGAUUGACUGAGCGGCUACAGCUGCUGUGUGGCAGGCACCAUGCCAAGGAGAGGAGACAUGAAGAAGUCAGGUACAGCCCUGUCUUCCAGAGAUGUCCAGGAGGGAGACAGCUGAGAAAUGCUUACAUGCAAACAGGAAGUGAGUACUAAGGUCCAGCUGAAGCAGGGCCUUCCAAAGCUCUGGGUUUUGAGAGGGCUUCAGAGAGGAUGUCAUAAAAGGUCAGUUUUGUUUCUGAGAGGUAGUGUCUUACUCUGUCACUCAGGCUAGAGUGCAAUAGUGCAAUCACAGCUCACUGUAAGCUCAAGCUCCUGGGCUCAAGUGAUCCUCCUGAGUCGGCCUCCCAACAUGCUAGCUUCACACACCUGUAAGACGUAAGCCUUGAAGUAGAGACGGGGUUUCACCGUGUUGACCAGGAUGGUUUCGAUCUCUUGACCUCGUGAUUCACCCACCUCGGCCUCCCAAAGUGCUGGGAUUACAGGCGUGAUCCACCGCGCCCGGCCCCUGGACUUAGAGCUUACAAUGGGCUAAAGAGCACGGUGACUGUGGCCACCUAAUAUGAACUUCGGAAAGUAUUCUCCAUAUUUUGGGAAAAGCUGCAUGAAGAAAGUAUUACAACAUGGUGGUGACAUGAAGACGACAUCAGGGAGGACACGGCCAAAAAAUUUGCGUUUCCAUUGAGUCCUGUGAAGUUCAGGUUCCUGCAGAGGAUACCGGAAGGGAAGUGUCAACUACAGCGCAUCUGGUCUGAUCUGUCCUGCUUAUGAAAAUUCAUGCUAUUUUCUUUGUGAUGAAUAAAGGGUGUUCCACUGCGUCCGAAACUCUGAAAACCGUUGCUCAGCACUAAGCACCUGUCUCUAUGACCGGUGUCCACUCACAGUUAUAAUGAAAGCCUGAAGCCGUGCUUGAGUUAGCUUAUGUAAAUAAAAACAUUGGUAGAGACUUGGUCUAGAUCUGCUGAGCUGCGUGUGAAAACUACAGUGUAAUUCGACUCUCCCCUCCCUCUCUCUUCCCACCACCAUUGUUGCCAAUAUAUAUUCCUUCCACGUUUUACCCACAGAAAACCUUGUGCACUGGGGUCACAUUCUCCAUAACCAAGUUGCCAAACAGAAAGAUCUCUGGAUUGGAAGACUUCUCCUAACUUGGGGAAGAGCACUUAGAGGGGAAGAAAUGAGAGAUGGUCAGAGCCUGGAGGUGUUUAACCUUGGUCUGCAGUGGACAUUUAUUAUCCGCCAAGACCCCUUCUUUCUGGCACUGACAUCCUUUCACGUAGGACCGUUCCCCCAAAUGAUGAGGCUCUAUAAGGGUUUCUCUCAUUUUCCCUUGGACUGUGAGAUGACCUAAUCCUCCAGGAUAUUAACCAGGUGCUUUCAAAGGUGUUUUGAACCAAGAAGCAAGCCCUGCCCUGUUGAACAGCAAAGCCUCCAGCCCUAAGAGGAAAGCCAGCCAGAGAGCAUAGAGCUGCGUGCAGCAGGCAGGGGAAGGGCGAGGAGAGAGUGUCACAAGAGCCUCCAGCUUCUGGUUCUAGUGGCCACUGAUGUCCAGCCCUGUUCUUUCCCUUUUUGUUUUGGUUAUAGGGGCCCUCAGAUCCUCUCUAUCAUUGGCACUUAUUGGAACUGAAUUUCUGUCAUUUUUUAAAACCAAGAAUGGCCAAAACAUUGCACUGGCUAUGGCAACAAAAUUAGAGUCUGAUAAAAGAAAGGAAAUAGAAACCACGAGAAGAAUGGAGGAAAUCUCCAGUAAUUCACAGGAAAUAAAACAACCAGAGAGGAUAAAACUUUGCAGUCUUGGAUGUCUGCACCCCAGGCGACAGUCUAGGUACUGAAACAGUGACCUUGAGAUCGUAGCUCAGGAAAGCCCAUGAGACUGUGCUGGUUCACUGAGCCCAGGCAGGUGCGAUGGCAGCAAUGGGACAGUGUUCCUUUCUCAAAGACAGAGCUGGGAGGGGGUGGAGUGGAGGAAGCCAUGUGUUAAGAUGGGAGCUCCUGCCUGAACAUCCACAAACCAUGAGCAGAGGGAGUCAUGGAGAUGGUAAGGCAGAGAAGGAAGGAGGACUGUGGCCUGCACAUGAGGUUGUGCUGCCAGACCUGGAAGCCAUGCUCCUGAGAAUCACAGUCCACGUGCUGGGUUAGGGCAGAGAGCCACAUGCAGCUCGCCGGCAGGGAGAAUCAG